rnacentral:rRNA from 1 species
GGGACACGUGGUAUCCUGUCUGAAUAUGGGGGGACCAUCCUCCAAGGCUAAAUACUCCUGACUGACCGAUAGUGAACCAGUACCGUGAGGGAAAGGCGAAAAGAACCCCGGCGAGGGGAGUGAAAAAGAACCUGAAACCGUGUACGUACAAGCAGUGGGAGCCUCUUUAUGGGGUGACUGCGUACCUUUUGUAUAAUGGGUCAGCGACUUAUAUUCUGUAGCAAGGUUAACCGUAUAGGGGAGCCGAAGGGAAACCGAGUCUUAACUGGGCGUUAAGUUGCAGGGUAUAGACCCGAAACCCGGUGAUCUAGCCAUGGGCAGGUUGAAGGUUGGGUAACACUAACUGGAGGACCGAACCGACUAAUGUUGAAAAAUUAGCGGAUGACCUGUGGCUGGGGGUGAAAGGCCAAUCAAACCGGGAGAUAGCUGGUUCUCCCCGAAAGCUAUUUAGGUAGCGCCUCGUGAACUCAUCUUCGGGGGUAGAGCACUGUUUCGGCUAGGGGGCCAUCCCGGCUUACCAACCCGAUGCAAACUACGAAUACCGAAGAAUGUUAUCACGGGAGACACACGGCGGGUGCUAACGUCCGUCGUGAAGAGGGAAACAACCCAGACCGCCAGCUAAGGUCCCAAAGUCAUGGUUAAGUGGGAAACGAUGUGGGAAGGCACAGACAGCCAGGAUGUUGGCUUAGAAGCAGCCAUCAUUUAAAGAAAGCGUAAUAGCUCACUGGUCGAGUCGGCCUGCGCGGAAGAUGUAACGGGGCUAAACCAUGCACCGAAGCUGCGGCAGCGACACUAUGUGUUGUUGGGUAGGGGAGCGUUCUGUAAGCCGUUGAAGGUGUGCUGUGAGGCAUGCUGGAGGUAUCAGAAGUGCGAAUGCUGACAUAAGUAACGAUAAAGCGGGUGAAAAGCCCGCUCGCCGGAAGACCAAGGGUUCCUGUCCAACGUUAAUCGGGGCAGGGUGAGUCGACCCCUAAGGCGAGGCCGAAAGGCGUAGUCGAUGGGAAACAGGUUAAUAUUCCUGUACUUGGUGUUACUGCGAAGGGGGGACGGAGAAGGCUAUGUCAGCCGGGCGACGGUUGUCCCGGUUUAAGCAUGUAGGCGGAGGU